CCUACGGGGGGCAGCAGUCGAGAAUCAUUCACAAUGGGGGAAACCCUGAUGGUGCGACGCCGCGUGGGGGAGUGAAGGUCUUCGGAUUGUAAACCCCUGUCAUGUGGGAGCAAAUUAAAAAGAUAGUACCACAAGAGGAAGAGACGGCUAACUCUGUGCCAGCAGCCGCGGUAAUACAGAGGUCUCAAGCGUUGUUCGGAAUCACUGGGCGUAAAGCGUGCGUAGGCUGUUUCGUAAGUCGUGUGUGAAAGGCGCGGGCUCAACCCGCGGACGGCACAUGAUACUGCGAGACUAGAGUAAGGGAGGGGGAACCGGAAUGCUCGGUGUAGCAGUGAAAUGCGUAGAUAUCGAGAGGAACACUCGUGGCGAAGGCGGGUUCCUGGACAUUAACUGACGCUGAGGCACGAAGGCCAGGGGAGCGAAAGGGAUUAGAUACCCCAGUAGUC
rnacentral:rRNA from 1 species